AACAUUGCCUUUUGAUUUUUAAUAAAAGGUAAGCCCUGCCCAGUGAGAUUUUCAACGGCCGCGGUAUCCUGACCGUGCAAAGGUAGCAUAAUCAUUUGCCCCUUAAUUAGGGGCUGGAAUGAAUGGGUAAACUAAAUUCCCCUGUCUCCUAGAAAAUAAUAAAAAUUUACUUAUUAGUGAAGAGGCUAAUAUUUUUUUAAAAGACAAGAAGACCCUAUAGAGCUUCCCGUAUAUUUUCUAAAAAAAAUUAACCGGUUUUGUUGGGGCGACAAGGGAAAAGAAAAAACUUCCCUUAAACUCAAGGCCAAUAAGCCUUUACCACUACCCUUUUAAAAGGAUUUAAAAAAGCUACCUUAGGGAUAACAGGCUAAUUCUUCUUUAGAGCCCUAAUCGACAGAAGAGAUUGGCACCUCGAUGUUGGCUUAAGGUCCCUAUUUAGCGCAGAAGUUAAAUUAGGUGGUUUGUUCAACCAUUAAAUCCUUACAUGAUCUG
rnacentral:rRNA from 1 species